GCGAUGUGAACUUGUUGAACUCGAAGAGAACAACAAAGAUCUGAUCACCUACAUGGAUGUCAUGCAGAGGUUCAACUCUAAAUAAUGGCUUAGAGCCACAGGUCCGAAAUGGAGUCCAUCAAGGUCAACGAUGUAUGGACACUCGUUGAUUCACUCGAAGGGUAAAGCCCAUAGAGUAUAAGUGGAUCUUUAAUAGGAUCAAAAUAGUAC
rnacentral:lncRNA from 1 species